CUUGAAAGCUCCUAGAGAUGCCAGUGAGUUUUUAAGCAUGCUUUUCUUCUUCAAGCUGCAACAGGCAGACUGGCAACUGCUGUUCGGAAAGGUUUUCAGCCCCCUGCCUUGGUCUACUGUAGCCUGUGACACGAUCAAUACAAGGGCUAGAAGGCAGAGGAAGCUAAGGAAAGAUUAUGAAGAUGAGUGGCACCCUUCAAAAGAUCUGGCUGCACCCCAAAAUGCCACGACCUCAUGGCUGUGAAUCUCUGAUCUACCCAAAGAAGGUGAAGCCUGCUCUGUAUACACAGACCUGAUAUUGAAAAGCAUGUGGCAACUAUCUGAUCAAGCCAUACAAUGAGAUGAAGCAUCCCCAUCUGAGAUUUUACUGUUGAUGUCAAAAGGAACUGAAACAUUCAGCUCAAGACACACAACUCCUACCAGAAACAAUGGAAGCAAUGGGAAUUUGGGGAAGUUCAUCACUUCCCAGGGUUUAG